rnacentral:rRNA from 1 species
UAACAUUUGAGUGAGUGGCGGACGGGCGAGUAACACGUGGGUAACCUGCCCUAAAGUGGGGGAUAACAUUUGGAAACAGAUGCUAAUACCGUAUAACAAUGACAACCGCAUGGUUGUUAUUUAAAAGAUGGCUCUGCUAUCACUAAGAGAUGGUCCCGCGGUGCAUUAGCUAGUUGGUAAGGUAAUGGCUUACCAAGGCGAUGAUGCAUAGCCGAGUUGAGAGACUGAUCGGCCACAAUGGGACUGAGACACGGCCCAUACUCC